UUGAAGGUGAUAGUAAGGUCACGCUCCGC
rnacentral:sRNA from 1 species